CUGCAACUGGUAGUUGAGGUUUUCUUUUUUUUUUUAAUGAAAAGAUAAGCAAAAGACUCUAAAUUGGUUUUAAAAGGGGGUACACUUACUCAGUACUCCUCCUGUUGGUAUUCUCCUUCUUCCUCAUCCUCGUACUCGCCUUCUUCAUCUGCGGUUGCGUCUUGGUAUUGCUGGUACUCUGAGACAAGAUCGUUCAUGUUGCUCUCUGCUUCUGUGAACUCCAUCUCGUCCAUUCCCUCACCUGUGUACCAAUGCAAGAAAGCCUUCCUCCUGAACAUAGCUGUGAACUGCUCACUCACACGCCUAAACAUCUCUUGGAUUGAUGUGGAGUUGCCAAUGAAAGUGGAAGCCAUCUUCAGACCAGUAGGUGGGAUGUCACAGACGGUUGAUUUGACGUUGUUGGGGAUCCACUCAACAAAGUAGGAUGAGUUCUUGUUCUGCACGUUCAGCAUUUGCUCGUCCACUUCUUUUGUGCUCAUCUUGCCACGGAACAUGGCAGAGGCAGUGAGGUAGCGUCCGUGUCUUGGGUCAGCAGCACACAUCAUGUUCUUGGAAUCCCACAUUUGCUGGGUGAGCUCAGGGACUGUGAGGGAACGGUACUGCUGAGACCCUCUGGAGGUGAGAGGAGCAAAACCCACCAUGAAGAAGUGAAGACGAGGGAAUGGAAUGAGAUUCACAGCAAGCUUACGAAGGUCAGAGUUGAGCUGACCAGGGAACCUCAGACAGCAAGUCACACCAGACAUCGUGGCAGAAAUCAAGUGGUUCAAAUCUCCAACUGCAAACAGAGAAUGAAGAAGUAAGUAUCCGUCCUUCUAUCCAUAUACACACUUAUCACACAACCAUAUCAAAACAAGAGCUUAGCAGAAAAAAAAAAAAAAAACUAUAUUACAAAGCAGAGUUACCCUUUCACAAUCACAAAAGUCGUUGAUAAUCAUGCUCUACUAUACAACCACUGAGUUCUGCAUAUCGCUUCCGUUACAAGAAGUACCAGAUAUUUACAUAACACUUAACUAGAUAUUUGCCAAUAAGAGUAAAGAAUAGCAGUAUUUGGGACUUAUUGUGGUGAUGACACCAAUGCAGAUAACCAGGGAAUAGUAAACAGAACCAAUAACACAAAACACAUGAGGACUACAGGCAAAAAUAAACCACUAAAAAUAGUAACAAAACAAUGACCAAAUCAUGUUCACCAUCUAUACACUAAUGCAUAUGAACCAUACAACAGAAGCAUCUCAACUGAUCUAAAACUCUGAGAACAGUAUCAAUGGAACCAUGAAUCAAAGAAAGACUUACAGCUAGGAGUUGUGAGUUUCAGAGUCCUGAAGCAAAUAUCAUACAAGGCCUCAUUAUCAAGAACCAUACACUCAUCAGCAUUCUCAACAAGCUGAUGAACAGACAAAGUAGCAUUGUAAGGCUCAACAACAGUAUCAGAAACCUUAGGCGAAGGAAACACUGAGAACGUAAGCAUCAUUCGAUCUGGGUACUCUUCACGGAUCUUUGAUAUCAACAGUGUUCCCAUACCAGAUCCAGUUCCUCCUCCCAACGAAUGACAAACUUGAAACCCUAUAAACCAAAAAUCUCACAGUUCAAAACCACGAAAAACACUUGAAACCAAAAUCAACUCUAAAAUCAAACAGAUCUAGAGAUUAUUAUACCUUGCAAGCAGUCACAGUUCUCAGCCUCCUUACGAACAACAUCGAGAACCGAAUCGAUUAGCUCAGCUCCUUCAGUGUAAUGUCCCUUAGCCCAAUUGUUCCCAGCACCAGAUUGACCGAAAACGAAGUUAUCAGGACGGAAGGUUUGACCAUAAGGUCCAGAUCUGAGACUAUCCAUAGUUCCAGGCUCCAAAUCCAUAAGAACAGCACGAGGAACGAAUCUACCACAACUAGCUUCAUUGUAGUAA
rnacentral:lncRNA from 1 species